rnacentral:lncRNA from 13 species
AAUUAUGUAUCUCGAUUUCAGAAAGUUAAACAUUCAAGGCUGGCAGAAGGUGUAGAUACGGCUAUCACAAAGAAGUAUGUAACUGAAGUAGAUAUUAUGCAGGUGGAUAUGUUGUUACCCUGCUAUUAUACAAAGCGGUGGAAAUUACUGGCUUACAUUUGCCGCCGUUAGUGACAACAAUACUCUCCACUUUGGUGUUGUUUGUUCAUUGGGAGUACGUUACAAAUUUUAUUGUUCAAACAUAGUGAGAACUCUGGUAAACCCCACAAAAAUAAUUGAGGAAAAUUGUAAUUUUUGGUUACAACUGGAAGCGGAGAUCUUGAAAAAGUUAGUCGCAGGAACAAAAUUAAGUAAAGUAUAUGAGGCUGGUAUUAAAUCCAGCAGCCAAGA